AAGUUAUUGAUUUUAUUUGUUUGUUCAUUUGGCUUUUAACCAAUUGGUCGUAGGUUCGAAUCCUACACGACCCACCA
rnacentral:tRNA from 1 species